AACGAACGCUGGCGGCAGGCCUAACACAUGCAAGUCGAACGGGAUCUUCGGAGCUAGUGGCGGACGGGUGAGUAACGCGUGGGAACGUGCCCUUUGGUUCGGAAUAGCCCUGGGAAACUGGGCGUAAUACCGGAUGUGGUCGAGAGACGAAAGAUUUAUCGCCAAAGGAUCGGCCCGCGUUGGAUUAGGUAGUUGGUGGGGUAAUGGCCUACCAAGCCGACGAUCCAUAGCUUGUUUGAGAGGAUGAUCAGCCACACUGGGACUGAGCCACGGCCCAGACUCCUACGUGAGGCAGCAGUGGGGAAUCUUAGACAAUGGGGGAAACCCUGAUCUAGCCAUGCCGCGUGAGCGAUGAAGGCCUUAGGGUUGUAAAGCUCUUUCGUGGGGGAAGAUAAUGACUGUACCCCAAGAAGAAGCCCCGGCUAACUCCGUGCCAGCCGCCGCGGUAAAAC
rnacentral:rRNA from 1 species